UUACUUACCUGGACGGGGUCUAUGGCUGAACAAGAAGGGCCAUGGCCUAGGCACGUGACCUCCAUUGCACAAAUAGGAGGGGCGCGUGACUAAGGUCGAUCCAAGUGGUCGUUCCUCCGUUAUUAUUUGUUCCCGAGGGGGCCUGCGUUCGCGCGGCCCCUGC
rfam:Erythranthe guttata cultivar DTN x IM62 scaffold_32_contig_29, whole genome shotgun sequence.